CUCGCCCUGCUUGUAGACGGAGAUGAUGUUGACGGUGAACUUCCACCACUCGCCGGCUUUUUCUGCCUUCAGGAUGUGCACCUGGACAGCUGCAGAGGGAGGACAAGGAGCAAGAGAGAUGACACAAAAUCACUUAGUUAAUAUCAGCUGCUGAUCACACCGACAAAUCAACUGGCAUUAUAAACACCGUGCAAUGAAGAGAGAAAUUAGAAAAGAGGUGAGAUCACAGAAAAAAAAAUGGUUAAGUGAGUGCCCAUGUACUAUAUGUACAAAAUGGUACCUUAAGUCCAUAAAUGCACCUCAUGUGGAAUAAAUAACGUUAAUAUCCUCAGUGGAAAAGGCUGGUCUAUGGUCCAGCUAUGAUAUACAGCUGCACAUGCAUUAUGUCCAUUACUACUGACAGAGCAGUGUGAUUUGUAAUGUGAUUAGGCGGCAGGGUAGGGCUAUUAGAGACGUUAGCUGGAAAGACACUCAGUGAUAUAACAUGACGAAUGAGCUGGUAUGGUCCUCAGAGAGAGAGAGAGAGAUGAAGAGAAUGAAAGAGUGAAGAACAGAGGGCUGCCUCUCAUGGAUCCUACCCCGGUAAGUAUCAAUAUGUAUUAUAUUGACCAGAUCUCUAUUACGCUCCAUUAUAGUUCUCCUGAGCUUAUGGGACAGCUUUUGAAAUGAACCGCCUUGUUCCAGGGUCACUGGUUUUACCUUCAGCGUAGAGCUAAUGGAGCUGAAGAUCAUGGCAGAAUUGAAAGUAUAUCUUGCAUUCAGGGCAGGUUUUGAACCAUAAAUUUUGGAUGACUUCCUUGGGAGUCGCACUUAAUGAACGGUGAACGAAAUCUAAAACUGCUCCUAAAACAUAAUUUUCCCAGCUAAAGCGCAUGCAUAUUAUACUCCUGACUUGAAAAACUGAAAACAUGUCUGAGUAUAAUUUUAGUUUCUAGUGCUCCUUUGUUUUUUUUAUUUUUUGAUAGUUUUGGGUAAUACGCUUAUUGCUUUCAUGCCAAAAUCUUAGUUUGGCAUAAAGACUCAACACAAAGGAAAAGAGCUGGUCUGCCUCUGUCCAGAGUCACAAAAUCUGACCAACAAAUGAAGUGUAAAAUUGAUAAGUUGUUGUCGUUUUACAGGGGGCAAUAUACCAGGCUAUGUCUUGGGUGUAUGCAGUAAGUUCCUGGAGUUCUUGUGGGUUGCCGGGCAUCUGGUAUAAACUCCAAGAAGUCACUGCUUCUUCAAUUGUGCAGGUGAUAUCAUAGCUGUUUGAAGACCAGGCCGAUGAGGGGUACGUUUGGGCUGCGACCUUCUGAGGAGGCUCAGAGGGUAAUGUAUGCAUCCUCUAGGCCUCAAGCCCGGGUGGUCCAGCGGGAACCUCGGCUUCUCACGAUUCUGACAUGACCAACGCAGGACGUCCAUCAAGUAAUCCCUCAAUGAGGUGAAGAAAAUUUCCUACGCUCCAGAAGUGGACAGAUUCCUGACAAGGGGGCCCAGAGAAACUCCAGAUAUUCUAGCUCGGCACCACCCACAGUGUUAUGUGAAGACAAAGCGUGAAACAGAGGGAGACGAAGGAGGUGGAGGAGAGCGAAAAGAUGUUGAAGGAGAAAAGAAAAAAGCUGGAGGAGGUUUGGGGACCAGCAAUAUCCUGACUGUGCUGUCAAUCGAAGCUGUCCAGGGAAGGUUGGGGAACCUCGGAGGGCCCGACAACAGCUGCAGGACCCUCUUGAACCCUCUUGAACACACUCACGUAUACAAAUGCAUAUACCUCGGGCCUCCUGCAACUUCACGGGCGAGACAGAGCAAACAUGCUGCGAGCCAGAUGACUCAAUUUUUUCCACCAUGAGUACAAAACACAAAAGUCAUUCCAACAGGGUCUGUGCAGAUUUUAGGUCAUGUCAUCCAGCUCCAGUAUCUGAUGUACCAAGACUAAUCCGGAUGUCAUAUCCUGUCCUUAAAGAUAAGACAGUAAAAUCCACAAUUUUACAGCAUAAUUUCAAACAGGAAUCAUCUGGUGAACGGAUGAAAAAACAGAAUCCUACGCUACAUUACAAGAUCCAGUUCCCACAGUUGGUCCUUCUACCACUUCACUGCAUCAGACAGGGAAAGAGGAGAGAUGAAAAAUCAUCAAAUCAAACAAACUGCCAGCCCCCAAUGGUGCACGCGAGACCAACACCCCACUGCGCCGCAGUUAGACUGAUUAAUUGUGAAAGUGUGAGAGAUUAAAGGAGGCACAUCCCAGGGUUGCUACUAAUGGAUUUAAUAUUCAUGAACCCCUAAUAAGGAAGGCAAGAGGGAUCCAAUUUAUCCUGCAGUCUGUUUUUUUUUUUUUUUUAUACUUGUGGAAAAAAUAUUGUGGAGAAGCGUGGAACUGCUGGAAAAUCCAAUAUCCAUUUAUAUACUUCCACAGUAUUCACAUCAUCCUUCCCUAAAGGCCUAAUGUGUUUAUCUGGAUGUGUAGCAGCAUAUAGAUGAAUACAAGACUCUCAACUGUACUCACCUGAUGGCUCCUCUGUGCUGCUGGAUGGGGUCGUUGGAGGCGCAACUGGAAUCUCUACUCCCAGAGAAAACAUAGACACAAAGAAAGAUCAGUUUCAUCAUUAUUUGCAUCUAACAGUACAUGUGUUUUUGUCUUUGUGUGCAUGCAUGUUGGCAGAGUAUGUAAAUGUGCAUAUUUUAUAAAGAAGGAUUAAGGUAAAAUAGUUCAAAGGGAUUACAGUCAGUGCAAGGGCUAUGAGUUGCUCAAAGCUCUGUGAUUUUUUCUUUCUUUCAACAGACAAGCUUUUAGUGUAAAUACACAAUUCUUGUGGUUAAUGGUAGGCUGCAAAUUUACUACAGAGGACCAUUGCUACAUGUCAUUGGCUGUCUCUUCCCCCAAUUUUUUGUCAGCAUUCUACAGUCUCAAGUAAAGGCUGAAUAUGCUAGGACAGUGUUGAAAAAGGCAUUGAAAUCAAGUGUAUAGUCUCAAGAUCAACGUGCGAAAAUAUAUAUUUUAAGCUUUU